GAAAUGAUUCUGUGGUCAUGUAGAUUUGAAUGAAUGUUUUUGAUUAAAAUGUAUUCAAUAUAAUUGUGUUUUUGAUUUUGAGGCAAAUAUUUAAUUAAAUUUCAAUUAAAAAUGGUUGGAAUAAAAUCUACCCAUUGUAGUUAAAUAAAAUUUAAGCAUUAUAUUUAUCUAAUCCCAAAUGGAGAGAAUAUUGAGUUAAUUCAAAUUAAUGUAAUCGGGCUAAUUUUAAUUGAAAAGCACUUCCUGUCGAAGUGAGCCUUUUUAUUUAAAAAAUGCAGCAGGCCUACAAGGCAUUUGAAGAGAGUAGGCUACAGACAGUGAAUGUUCGUUUUCUUCCACAUUGCUCAUCUUGCAAAAUUUGACUGGUUGACUUAGGUAAGAAAACUUAUUUUGUUAUCACUGGGCUACUAAGAAAAACGCAUGUAGUAGUAUAUUACAAUAUAAAAUGAGUUAUCACAGAAAAAGAGACUCAGCAACAACACAAAGUUGGCUUCUGUUGGAAGGCUAUGUGAUGUUGUUGCGCUAUAAUAUUGACACAGCAUCAUACAUUUUGGAAGAAUUCUUAUGUAUCGAAGUCAAACGUUUAUUUUGAAGGAUGUGGGUUACCUUUUUCUCUAUCAUGGUUCCUAGGUCUUUUGUGUGUUAAUAUCAUAUCCUAAGUAUGUUUUGUAUGAAAUUGCGUAAAUAAGUACAUCGCGUUUAAUUUUAAGGUUCCAUAAAGCGCAAUAUUUGGGGUUUUCGCUGGAUGAGAAUCUUAUAUUUCAGACGGCACUUGACGCAGUUCCGUUGGCUUUACUUCUCGUGUGUGGAGCUCAUCUUCCAGAGGCAGGUAACUUAACUUCUCUCUUUGUUUCACUGUUUUGUAAGUUAACUUAGCUAAAUCCACGUGAAGUCAGUCUAUUAACAGUGUUAUGUUUAAGAGCCACAAUUUUAUUUAUUUUCAUGCAUAAAUCUGUUAAUUUUAAUGUGGUAAUCUUACAUUGGCACAAACUCUAUAAUUUUACAGCUAAACCGUACACUAAAAAUUGAAAAAAAAUAUUCAUACUUUGAUUAAUAAUUAGUCUAACACGUUUUUUUUCUCCCACAAAGUUUCAAUAAUGUCAUUAAAAUCUUUAAAAUUACAUUAACUCUUCCUCAUUUACAAUUCCAGAAUGAUUAAAUUGGCAAAUAUUGUGGAGGAGGACUUCAGUACUCUGACAGUGGCAAAAAGUAUUGAAUGUUAGACAGUUUAUAUGAAAGAGGUUUAAAAGGCUAAGAACUGAUGUGAUAUCUUUGUCGCCUUUGUGUUUCAGAUCAAUGCAGAAUUUCAAAGAACAACUACUGUACUUCUGGUACCGAAAUUUAUGUCUGUGUUUGACUGUCACACUCCCAAGCUACUGACGCCAUUUUGUGCCAAAGAUGGAGCACUUGGAAGAAGACUGGAGAUCAUAAUGGAAAUGCUGCAGUGAUUGACUUCCUCCCCAGCACUCUUCGAUUGAGAGGACCAGAGAGAUUGUUCCUCGGUAUCUUACAAAAAAUACCUUGGAGAACAAGGGGGACAUCUUAUCAAAGAAUUCAACGACACUGAGAACUUGGAG